rnacentral:rRNA from 1 species
AGUGGCGGACGGGUGAGUAACGCGUGAGAAUCUGCCUUGGGGUCGGGGACAACCACUGGAAACGGUGGCUAAUACCGGAUAAGCCGAUUGGUGAAAGAUUUAUUGCCCGAAGAGGAGCUCGCGUCUGAUUAGCUAGUUGGUGAGGUAAGAGCUCACCAAGGCAGCGAUCAGUAGCUGGUCUGAGAGGACGAUCAGCCACACUGGGACUGAGACACGGCCCAGACUCCUACGGGAGGCAGCAGUGGGGAAUUUUCCGCAAUGGGCGAAAGCCUGACGGAGCAAGACCGCGUGAGGGAGGAAGGCUCUUGGGUUGUAAACCUCUUUUCUCAGGGAAGAAGCUCUGACGGUACCUGAGGAGUCAGCCUCGGCUAACUCCGUGCCAGCAGCCGCGGUAAUACGGAGGAGGCAAGCGUUAUCCGGAAUUAUUGGGCGUAAAGCGUCCGCAGGUGGCGAUUCAAGUCUGCUGUCAAAGCACGGGGCUUAACUCCGUAAAGGCAGUGGAAACUGAAUAGCUAGAGUGCCGUAGGGGUAGAGGGAAUUCCCGGUGUAGCGGUGAAAUGCGUAGAGAUCGGGAAGAACAUCGGUGGCGAAAGCGCUCUACUGGACGGCAACUGACACUCAGGGACGAAAGCUAGGGGAGCGAAUGGGAUUAGAUACCCC